GACAAGAAAUAACAAUACGGGGCUUUCGUCUUGUAAUUGGAAUGAUGGUGAUGUACAACCUCACCAGAGUACCAAUUGGAGGGCAAGUCUGGUGCCAGCAGCCGCGGUAAUUCCAGCUCCAAUAGCGUAUAUUAAACUUGUUGCAGUUAAAAAGCUCGUAGUUGUAUUUCAGCCUCGCGUUUUUUCCCUCUUUUCGGGUCUUUUCGCUGGCUUUUUUUUUACUUUGAGAAAAUUAGAGUGUUUCAAGCAGACUUUUGUCUUGAAUACUUCAGCAUGGAAUAAUAGAGUAGGACCUUGGUUCUAUUUUGUUGGUUUCGAGCCUUGGUAAUGGUUAAUAGGAACGGUUG
rnacentral:rRNA from 1 species